GUGCCUGACAGGGCUGGCCGGGAAGAACUGCUGACCUGUCUAAAGAAAUAUAUCUGCGUCUCCCGGAAUGGCAGGACAGAUGGUGCCCGUUCGCACCGCGGCGACUUCUCUCGAUGGCACACACCGAGCGGAGCUGAUGAGUGGUUUGUUUUUGUGGCAGGGAGGUAGCGAUGCCCUCGGACAUCCCGUGGCAAGGGCUUGAUGGGAAAUGUCCGCCCCUGUGCAGGCGCGUACCGAGAGGGCAGGGGGGCAGCGGCAUCGCUCCCGCCCGCUCCUGCCCCGUCCCCGCGUACAUGACCUGCCGCAGGAUCGCCGAGGAAAGGGGCUUUUGGUACCUGUGCCAGAGCCGCGCCCCCAGUUCCCUCCAAACCGGCUCUAAAGGUCGCUCCCCGCUCGCCCCCAUGCCCCUCGGCGGAGGCGGCAGGGCCGCGCUCACGCUCUCCUCCCGACCCCGGCAGUCAGUCCCUCUCCUCCCGACCCCGGCAGUCAGUCCCUCUCCUCCCGACCCCGGCAGUCAGUCCCUCUCCUCCCGACCCCGGCAGUCAGUCCCUCUCCUCCCGACCCCGGCAGUCAGUCCCUCUCCUCCCGACCCCGGCAGUCAGUCCCUCUCCUCCCGACCCCGGCAGUCAGUCCCUCUCCUCCCGACCCCGGCAGUCAGUCCCUCUCCUCCCGACCCCGGCAGUCAGUCCCUCUCCUCCCGACCCCGGCAGUCAGUCCCUCUCCUCCCGACCCCGGCAGUCAGUCCCUCUCCUCCCGACCCCGGCAGUCAGUCCCUCUCCUCCCGACCCCGGCAGUCAGUCCCUCUCCUCCCGACCCCGGCAGUCAGUCCCUCUCCUCCCGACCCCGGCAGUCAGUCCCUCUCCUCCCGACCCCGGCAGUCAGUCCCUCUCCUCCCGACCCCGGCAGUCAGUCCCUCUCCUCCCGACCCCGGCAGUCAGUCCCUCUCCUCCCGACCCCGGCAGUCAGUCCCUCUCCUCCCGACCCCGGCAGUCAGUCCCUCUCCUCCCGACCCCGGCAGUCAGUCCCUCUCCUCCCGACCCCGGCAGUCAGUCCCUCUCCUCCCGACCCCGGCAGACAGUCCCUCUCCUCCCCGCGCCCGGCUCCCGCAGCUCCCGAGUGACGCGCAGCCCGGCGCGCUGGUCCAUCCGCGCACAUUUCCAAUCUCAUGGCUCAUAAACUAUUAGCCAAGGGAUUUCAUUAUUCACCUUCCGUAUCUUACAAAGGAGAAAGGGGGAAAAAAAAAAAAAAACCAACAAAAAGCCAAACCAACCAAACACGCGCUCCUGGUACCGGCAAGACCGGCCCGGGUUUAAAUCCGGGGGGGGGGGGGGGGGGGGGGGGGGGGGGGGGGGGGGGGGGGGGGGGGGGGGGGGGGGGGGGGGGGGGGGGGGGGGGGGGGGGGGGGGGGGGGGGGGGGGGGGGGGGGGGGCCCUCCGGCGCUGGGCUCCGGCCGCGGCUGCUUGUCCCGGAGGGACUGCGGGGUCAGCCUCGGCCGAGGGCAGAGCAAAGCUAAGCAAAGCCGUGAACUGCGUUUUACCGGCCGCGGAGAGCAUAUUCCAGAAGAAACGGGGUCAGCCUCGGCCGAGGGCAGAGCAAAGCUAAGCAAAGCCGUGAACUGCGUUUUACCGGCCGCGGAGAACAUAUUCCAGAAGAAAAAAUAAAAUCUUGGGGAUGAAAGGGGGGUGUGUGUUUGUGGGGGGGCAAUCCGCUUGUUCUCCUUGUUUUUUUUCCCCUUUCAUUUUCUGCACUAAAUGUCACCGGGCGUUGUUUAGCUCUGCGCUGGAAUGUGACAGCGCACGCACUCGGGGCGGGCAGCACAAGCGCUCCGCGGAGCGAGGGCCGGAGCGGCCGGGCGGGGUGCGAGGGGCCGGGGUCAGGCCGAGCUGCAGGCGGGGCAGCCAGGGGCAGACGCGCGCCUCAGCACGGCUCCUAUAGAACCCUAGGACCCCAUCCAGGGAAAGUUACUGACAGCCUGCAUGAGGCGAACACAAAUGUUAAUACUGCUAACUUUGUUUCUUUCUUCCCGCCCCCCCUUCCUUUAAUGAUUUUUUUUUCAUCCUUUAAGAAAUAGACUGCGAAGAAGUUUAGAUCACGAGGUAAUUAUAAAAACCAAUAUAGAGAUUUUGAAAGAGAGACCCACUUCACAAUUUUAUACCGAGGAGCAAAAUAUUCUGGCGAAGUCUGGGGUCAUCACCUACAAUAGAGCAAUGUUCCCUCCCUGUUUAAUAUACAUGGUGUGGGAAAUGGAGGGAAAACAUAGCUAGCACCUGUAGUGCCAAAGGAAAAAAAAAUUAAAUUACUGCAUCAUAUUUUGGGGCUAUUUUGCAGGACGUUCUUCGAAAAUAGACCCAUAUUUAAUUAUAGAUCUAAUGAUUUCCUCUAUGUGACUGCUAGUUAAUAGUAUGGAGGAAAAGGGGUUUCUAUCGAGUUUUUGCAUUUUGGUAUCUUUAAAAAAAUAGUAAUUUUCUUCUCUGUUAAUAGCGCAUCUGGGACUGCAAGUGACCGACCUGGACCAACUUUUAAUUAACACACUGACCUGCCGAAGAAGCAAAACUCCCUUUAGGGGAAAAAUAAAAAAAAGUGUAUAUACAUACACCGCCGUAUCGGCGUGACCCUGGGGACACCAGCGCUCUCCCUGCCCUUUUUGCAGGGAGGAGGUGAUUUUCCAACGGGGCGAGGAGAUGGGCGAGUUCAGCACCCCCUCCCCUCUCCCGGGCCGCGCAGCCCCGCUCCAGCCCCGCGAAGGGGGGAGGCGGUCGGAGCGGGCGGGGCUCUCUCACCGGGGCCCCCGAGCAGCGUGUGCGAGGAAAAGGCCGUGGCAGAAAGGCGGAGGAUUUGGGCUCUGUGGGAGGUGUGGUACAAACACCAGUGAGGGGGUGAACACAAGCUCACGCGUGGGUGCUACGAGCUCCGGAGCCUGUUCGGCAGCUCCCCCCCUCGAAGCACAAAGAGAGGUCAGCAGCCUGAAAGAUGAACUCCUUUUCUUUCUGCUGUUGCCUCAUCAAUGCUUUGUCUUAUUUUUUCCCUUCACGAUUAAAUUAAAUACGGUUUAAAACUAUUAUUAUUUUUUUUUACCAUUCACAUACACACUUCAGGCAGGCUGGAUGCCUGAUGCGGCUCCCACCCCCCAAAACUGGCACUGGAGUACGUUACUGCCGAGUUACACUUUAACUUCUCUGCAGGUAAUAAUUAAAGACCUUCUUUCUAAAUCUCUUUCCCCCACAGAAACACCGAGGCUCUCUUAUGCAAUAGAUUAUAUUGAUCACACACACGGGCACACUCUCCUCAGAGCUGCCGUCUGUGAGCUGCUCUCAAUUCCGUGCGCUCUGAGCAACUUUUCCCACAUCUUCUCCCAUUUUUUUACCGAGCUGAAAGGUUUCUUUAGGGAUGCAUUUCUAUGAACACUCACAAAUUCCCCUAAGAGGAAGCUCCAUGUGUAAAAGGGGGCAGCCAGUCACUCAGAUGCACACCUGCAGGCUUUGGCCAUAAGUCUGAAUUUUGUCCCACAGUUGCAUUGUGUGUGAGUUUAAAAAUAAGAGAUAUAGAGGGAACAAAGUUAUCUGACAUCAGUAAUGGAAUAUCUCUGUCUAGUGAGAAGAACUCCAGCUUUCUUAAUUUCUUUAGUGGUGAUGCUUUAAAAAAAAAAAACCCUUCAGCCUUGUCCUAAAGCCAUACUGAAAGGCUUUCUUUAGUGGUGAUGCUUUAAAAAAAGAACAACCUUCAGCCUUGUCCUAAAGCCAUACUGAAAGUUUUAGGGGCUCUGAGUUACUUGGGAUCACAAAUUAAUCUGCCAGAGAAGUGCAGCACACACUUGAUAUCAACAGAGGGUCAAGAGCUGGCCAGUUCCAGCUGAUCCCGCAUUUGAUUUACUUCAGGCUGUUAAGAUGUAUGCUGCGGUGUUUUGAUAAGAAAGAAGGAGUCAGCAGUUUGAUUUGGCAAUCCUUUCCUUUCUUUCUAUUUUUUUUAUUUUUUUUUUUUCCCCUCUGAAGAGCGCCGCAGAGGAAUUUGUUGCUGCUGGUGGGAUGGUUUUUAGUCUGCAUGGGGCUAUCUCAUCACACACUGUUAACACUUAACUGUGUUUCUUACUCUCCCAAGUGAGCCAGACUGCGGCAUGAACUUUUAUGCAGCUUGUCUACCUCAGGCCUCCAGCAUCUCUGGCCAGUGCCUUUGCUGGGGUUCACCCCAGCCACAGAACUUGGAGCAACAGCAAAGGCAGUGAACAACACCCAGUGGGUUACACCAGCAACCUGCUUGGAUUGGUGGAGCCUUACCACACCUUUCCUCUCACACCUCUCUCUUCUACAGGGUCUUGUCCCCGAGUUUCAUCAGAUGCCGCUGAAAUAAUUCAAUUUUGCGUUUUUUAUACUGCACUGAUGUAUGAACAAGCUGAGUGGGGAGGCUGCUUACUCUUAGCUGAAUUAAACUAUUAUUUGAAGAUAUCUCCUGCACCUGCUGUGCCCUCUCUUACAGCCCCCAAAACUUUCGAUCCCAGAGUUAAAUCACAGUAAUUACACCAGGGAUGUUAUCUCAGAUGUGUGUGUCUGCACAGUGUAAAAAACACCUGCAAUACUCCAAACCAGAGGACCAUUGCACAAAUGACACCCCUCAGAGGUGGCAACAACAGGUACAUAAAUAGAAGAAGGAGCAGAUCAGGAUUUUUUUCUUGCUCUAUCCCUGGAUUUUCUUUGCCUUUCCUUUCCUCUUCUUUUAGUUUCUGUGCCUCUAAAAUAGGGAAGUAAGAGUUACCGACCCUAUUGCCUUUCCAUGAGGCAAUUGGUGUUUGAAGAAAAACCAGAAAUCCUCAGAGGAUGUAAUCUGUGAUAAUGUAUAUUCUAAGGUAAAUGUGCUGCCAUUCCAUGUGUUGGGGUUGGCAAACAUUUCUCAGCAGAGACCACAUUUUCUUUGCAUGUAGCUUUAGAAAAAACAUCAUCACUUAGGCUGAAAACUGAUAUGCUGACUGUCUGUACUGGGCAGAUUAUUUUGAAAAUACCUGCCAAAACAAUUUGUCCAUUUCCAAGAACAAGGUUAUGGAAAAAUAAACAGUUUUGCUCAUACUAAAAUGGAAACUUUUUUCCUUUGAAAUGCUCUGCUGCCCUCAGGCUUU
rnacentral:lncRNA from 1 species